ACUUUGGUGGUUCUGUGGUAUAAUUCUUGCCUUUCAUGCAGGAGACCUGGGUUCAACUCCCAGCUACUGCA
rnacentral:tRNA from 1 species